rnacentral:rRNA from 1 species
ACGGGUGAGUAAUGCUUGGGAACUUGCCUUUGCGAGGGGGAUAACAGUUGGAAACGACUGCUAAUACCGCAUAAUGUCUUCGGACCAAACGGGGCUUCGGCUCCGGCGCAAAGAGAGGCCCAAGUGAGAUUAACUAGUUGGUAAGGUAACGGCUUACCAAGGCGACGAUCUCUAGCUGUUCUGAGAGGAAGAUCAGCCACACUGGGACUGAAACACGGCCCAGACUCCUACGGGAGGCAGCAGUGGGGAAUAUUGCACAAUGGGGGAAACCCUGAUGCAGCCAUGCCGCGUGUGUGAAGAAGGCCUUCGGGUUGUAAAGCACUUUCAGUUGUGAGGAAAAGUUAGUAGUUAAUACCUGCUAGCCGUGACGUUAACAACAGAAGAAGCACCGGCUAACUCCGUGCCAGCAGCCGCGGUAAUACGGAGGGUGCGAGCGUUAAUCGGAAUUACUGGGCGUAAAGCGCACGCAGGCGGUUUGUUAAGCUAGAUGUGAAAGCCCGGGCUCAACCUGGGAUGGUCAUUU